AAAAUAACCUCCAUGAAGAAGGGGAUAUUUCCCUUAUUAGAGAACCACNCUUCCAAGAACUAAUAAAUUAAUUUUCAAUGACCCGAUACCCGAUAAUCGAUCAACGAACCAAGUUACCCUGGGGAUAACAGCGCAAUCCACCCUGAAAGCCCUUAUUAACAGGUGGGUUUACGACCUC
rnacentral:rRNA from 1 species